ACGGCCAUACCAUACUGAAUAUACCGGUUCUCGUUAGAUCACCGAAGUCAAGCAUCAUUGGGCGCGGUCAGUACUUGGGUGGGUGACCACCUGGGAACACCGCGUGCCGUU
rnacentral:rRNA from 1 species